rnacentral:rRNA from 1 species
AUACGUAGGUGCCAAGCGUUAUCCGGAUUUACUGGGCGUAAAGGGCGUGUAGGCGGUCUUGCAAGUCAGAAGUGAAAUUCCUGAGCUCAACUCGGGCGCUGCUUCUGAAACUGCAGGACUUGAGUGCUGGAGGGGAUAGCGGAAUUCCUAGUGGAGCGGUAAAAUGCGCAGAUAUUAGGAGGAACACCGGUGGCGAAGGCGGAUAGCUGGACAGUAACUGCCGCUGAGGCGCGAAAGCGUGGGGAGCAAACAGGAUUAGAGACCCGGGUAGUCCACGCCGUAAACGAUGAAUACUAGGUGUAGGGGGUAUCGACUCCCUGUGUGCCGCAGUUAACACAAUAAGUAUUCCGCCUGGGGAGUACGGCCGCAAGGUUGAAACUCAAAGGAAUUGACGGGG